GCCGGCUCGUGCUUUCGGGCAAUGCGCACUGCCCUCAUCCACCGACAUCACACCUGUUUCCGAUCCAUUCUGAUGUUCAUCCUGAGUCAGGUUGUGCCAUGUCAGCGUGUCUACAUAGGAAGAAAGUAGGACGAGUCGUACCAAGGUUUAGAAUGGAAAGAGAGUUGGUGCAGACCCAUUUGACUUCAUCGGUAGAGGGCAUGUCCUCCGCAUCUCCAACAGGAACCCAGCCUCCAAACACGUAUAACCUACAACAAAGAAAGAGGACAAUGCUAAGGAAAACUGAUGUGGGAGGUAAAAUACACAAAGGUCGUUAUCAUCACCAUCUUUUCACAGGAUAUAAAAAGAUGAGAGGUCCUAAAUAUGACGGAAGAGUAGGACCGCCCAAAGCAAUCCAGAUUUAAAGAGUGGCCUAGAGGGGCUUUCUCAGAGAACGUGUUGGAGCGGCUGGAGGGAUUCUGCUGCAUCACACGACACGACGGGACGUCAGCUGGGUCAAACAGUGACAGGAUUGCUGAACUUGCAAACGUUACGUCCAUUUUUGGUCUUCAGCAUUUCAAUGUGGUCCACCAGGGAACUAAGAUCAGAGGCUGCUGAUGAAGAGGUAAAAAGUUUUAUACUUUGGCAUUCUCUACAAAGGGCAAAUGAAUGUUCAGACUGUCUCCAUCACAGCGUGAUGUUCUGAAAUCUCAUCCAGGUCUCUCCCACCAAUCAGAGCUCUCUCCGUUUUAUGCCUCACAGGCAUCUAAUUUCACAAACAAACAUUGUAGACAAAUCAUUUUACAUGCUUUCAUCAGCACUGAAGUAAGUCUUUUUCUUUUCUUUUCACAGACGUGUAUGUGUGUGUUGUUAGUGCACACUAAUGGCAAAAAGUAUGUAGUAAAAGGUUUAUAUAGUAAAGGAGACAUUUUCAGAAUACUUCUGACCUUAUAUGUUCAAAGAAACCGUUCAAAUCUAAGAAUAAGGUUUAAAAAAGACAAAACAAAAUAAUUAAGCAAAAAAGAAAACUACAUCAUAUAAUGAAAUACAUGUUUUAUUUUAUGCAAAAUAUGCAUAAAAAACUAAAACGCGCACAUUACACAAAUUGAAAGUUAGGCAUACAUUAACAACAAUGUAAACAAAAAUGUUUUUGUAUACCGUCACUAUCCUGACUAAAUAAGCUUUUGCUGUAAGUAAUUUUCUUUGCCUUCUUAAAUUCUUCUCAAAGCUGAGCUUCAGUUUACACUACAAUCACCCGCCUUACACAACAUGCAUGCUAAAUAAAUCUCCAAUAAUGUGUUUUCUAAAUAAAGGACAAAGACAUCAGUUUUCCUACACUGUAAAACAGCUGUACAUUUACAGAAAUGUACUGUUAUUCUUUACAGAUUUUUCACAUAUAAUGUAAAAAACUGUAAAAAAAAUCUUCAAAUUACAGGAAAAAUGGUUAGUUAACCAUUUUUACUGGCGCCCCAUCUGCUUGAUUUUUUUACAGGAUUUGUUCACAGUGUAAUUUUGAAAAUACGUUAAAAAUACAUCAAAUGACAAAAAAAAUCAUGAAUUUACAACAAAAAACAUGUCAUUUUACGUUACAAACUGUAAUUUUACGUUUUCUGCUGGAAAACAGCAUUUUUUCAGGAGUUUUUUUACAGUGUAGAUCGGACAUCACUUUUGGCCCCUACUAUAAGCUUACCCUCACAGGUCGUCUGUAGUGACUGUCGUAAUGCAAACAGCCCCUUAUCCACACAGUCACACACAAAAGCAUGUUUAGUGUUUAUUUCCGCCAACUGUACACUAAACCGCUCGUAUUUCUAUAUGUAGCGAUAGGACAUAUAUGCCCUGGCCUAGCGUGAUACUAAUCUACGGUAUGUGUCUGCACAUGCUCUAUUAUAAAAAUUGACACAAACAGGAAAUUGCUCGGAUGGUUGACCACAAAGCAUCGCCGCUUUAAUGAAUCUGACAUUCCCCACAACCUCGUCUCUAGGCCUAUAUAGGGCGCCCUAUCCCAGCGUGCAUCACUGUUUAAAUACCACUUUCUCUAUCAUUGGAUGGCUCUGAAAACAAUGGGAUUGAAAGCACACAGAACGUGGCGGGAUGCACUGAUGGAAGGCUUUCAUAAGAACAAGGGGGGUUGAGGUAUUCUUCUGUCAACAUCUGGGCGACGUGUCAUUUGUGUGUUCGAGUGAAAUAGAGAAGAAAGGACAGAUACUGAUACCUCGGCGCUUGCUUGACAAGUGCAUAAUUCAUUUUCUUUAUCUUUUGGCUUCCAUCAUAAAAAGCGGCUAUUUCAUUCGUGUCCCGUUCAUGCACGGAGAUAAAUUCAUAUGCAACUUAAUUGUGUUCAGUUCAUGUUUAAAAAGACAACCCACCCCCCUAAAUAUAUACUUUCUUUCUCAAAAGACUUAACAAGUACACGUAGCAAAGUGUUGAAUCCAGGGUUUGUUGUGAGGAAAGACAGAUGUGUUCUCUCCAUGGCUGUCUGCUCAUUUCAUUUCUGUCACUUCCAUCACAUCACUUUCAAUGUUUGUUUUUAGCUUUUCUUUUGGUCUCCAAAAUGUCUUUCAGUAAUUUAUUCUGUCACUUGUGUUGUCAAGGAAUGCACACCUUGGGUUAAAUUUCAGUGCUAGCUUACAAUUUGUAGUGAGGGAACGAUUUGUCCAUUCAAGGAAUAGCUAAAAAAAGAUUUAAACCAGCCAAAUGUAUAUUCAUUCACUUAUUUAAAUACAUAAUGCAAGAUUAGGGUUUGUGGUCGAUAGGUUCAGGAUUAAACAAAUGAAACAUGACACGGGAGGCCUUCCCCAUGUCAGACAAGCAGGCCGUGGCGUGAAUGAGCUCUGACCCUUGUCGUUUUGACCCAACAGGUCACAGACAGUCUGAAACACUCCAGACCUUCAAGAUACAAAUCAUGCAGAAUUUCCCUUGCUCCAGUCUCCUACACGGAGAUUUUAGCCCGAGUCAGGUUUUUCAUCCUUUGGGAAAUUACUUUUGCUUCUUGUAAGCAUAAACAUCAUUACAUUUUCCUAGAUUUGCAAACAUUUGCAACAAUACAUUCUCUGAAAAAAUUUUAUAUAUUAUGCCAUUCAAUUUGUGUUGUUAGUAAAACGUUCAGAUCUCCUUCAGAUUUUCUGAAUGCAAUCUGAUUCAAUUUAUUUUGAAUUAUAAUUUGCACUGAACUGCAAGUUCUUUAUGCUUUUACUGCUGUACAAAGUAAGUGGGUUGUUUGGUUUCACAUUUUGCAUGAUUUUUUCCAGAGUUUAAAGGACCUAAUGCAAUAGGUUUUUCCUCAGUAUUUGUUGCAGAAAAUGGGAGAAGAUGUGAACUACACGCUAAACCUACACAAGGACUUCAGCAGUGCUGAGAACAAAUGUUCUGCUUGGCUUUGAUUGAUGACUAAAUGAAAGCAGACAUAAAUAUAUACGUUCACACACUAAACCAAUAGCUCAGAUGCUUCAUCAUCACUCACUGAGCAUAGACAUUACUUCUGCAGUCAGCAGUUCAGUGGGGGGUUAUGGAAGUGCCCAGAGGACCAUUUGUGUCCUGUUUAUGUAGAAAUGAGUGUAUGAUACCCAAGAGAAAAGAUUACAAAUGAGAAUUACUGUAGACACGUGAUACAGCAUCCAUUAAAUCACCCAAAACAACCUCUGAUGUCUAAAAAUACAUUUAAGUGUUUGUAAAUGCAUUACCAGAGUUUGGGUGUGCUUAGUGAUUAGAGUCAAUACACAUUUCCUGAAUUGCAAUGGUUUAUGUGUGUGUGCUGUAUAAAGUUUCCUACCUUGGUAACGUAAAAUAAUCUUAAUUGAUUCAUAACUAUGUAAAGAUAAGUUUGCAUAGGCUGUUCAAUUUAUCAGUGUCACAUGACAAGCUUUACAACCUCGUAACCCAUAACAGAGACAUACUGAACAGUCGUAACUGAAGUCAUGACAUCUGCUGAUAUGUGUUCAACAAUAAUGAGAGAGAGAGAGAGAGAGAGUUCUGCUUUGUGUGCUAUAAUUAUUGUUAAAUGCAAAUUAAAACAAAAUGUUAAAUGCAUCCUCGUUACUAAGUCUCUUUGUUUUUGUUCUAAAUUAGAGAAACAAUAUUCAAAUUAUAACAUAUUUAUUCAUUAUGUUAGUACUUGCUUUACUGUGUGUUGGUUUGAAAUAAUUGUGUUUGGAAAGGAUCCUGCCAUCCUGACCAGACAAAGUAAUCCAAUUAAAACGAAAAUUCAUGACGAAUAACAGUCAUUCCAAUUGGCAUUUCAAUUAGACUUUAUAAUUGUACCUUGCUGUGAUUCAGUGCCCGACUUCCCCCCUUGCGGACACGCACAGUUUAUUCUGUAAACUGAUCUCAUAUCAGUGUUACAGCAAUUAGUCCACCUGCUGGUUUUCUAUUCUCUAUCCCCCCCUGCUGGCGCAGCGUGAUAUUAUCCUGUUUGGUGCGAGCGAACGUUUAUACCGCUUGUCGAAGAGAAAGUUGAUUUAGUGUAGUUACACAAUUAUCCCAGUAGAGGGCAGAACGGCACUUUCCAAAACUAUUGGGUGUUUCCAUCCACCUGAAAGGUUACAUUUAAUUGGCGUGAAACGGUUAGGUUUUGUAGUUCAUUCAUAAUGUGGUUUUCUUUUCUUAUUGCUUUUCUUUAACAUGGCAACUGCUGCCAUAUGCUUAUCCAGUAAUCAAUUAAAUUAUAAUUUGCAUUUGAAAAGCAGCCUUGCAGAAUAAAAAACAGUACAGAAAUAAGAAAAAGAAAUUUGGAUACAAAAACUGUGACCUUUUAAAUGGUCGUGGUGGUAUUGCAAAAUGUAAAGAGGUUUGCUAACUGUAAAAAUAUUUGUCAAUAGGCAUGAACCCAGCUAACACAGUACGUUCUGACGACGUAGCCAGCUCGACUUCAUUUGGUCACCGUGACAUUACUUUGUGCACGUUCUGAGGACGUCUUGGCAACGUUCCAUUUCUAAGAAUGUUUGCUUACGUUCCAGAAACGUUCUAGCCACGUCCUCAAAUAACAUUGUGAAUUAAUCCCAUGGAGAACGUUGUAGCGACGUGAUGUACUGGUCUUCAGAUAACCUGGACACUGGUCAUUUGAUUAAUGAAUUUGGUCAUUUCUAUUUAUUGUUAUUGGAUGGAAAAUUUAUGAUCAGAGUAAAAUCUCUUAUAAUGUCAAGACGAAUGCUAUAAAUCCGACUUCUGACAGCUAUUAAACAGUUAAUUCGAUACCACAAUUAAAACUGCGUUUCUAUUUAUUUAGUGCGCGCGUCUGAUAUGUGCGCGCACGCGCCUUCUCUGAUCUGCAAAGAGACGCGCGUUCGCAUCAUUUAAACGUUAACGGUCAUUUCGUUUUACCUCACUGCCUGAUAUUACUUUAGCGGUUUAAUAAUAUUCUUUCUUUACUUUAAACCUUACAGAUUUGAGAGUGACGCACAUUUUUUGUGAUUUUCGAUCGAUUUGGCGCGUUUAAAUGAACGGACCCUGAUGUUUGUGAGUGUGACUAAAGAAACUUUUGAUUGUUGUUUCUAAAAACUGACAACCUGCUAAAUUUAUGUGGUAAAACAAGAAUAUACUGUUAAUCUUAAACAUAUGUUUAUUCAUCUCUGUCAAUAAAUAUCUGCUUUAA